rnacentral:rRNA from 1 species
UGUGUGUUAGUGGAAGCGUCUGGAAAGGCGCGCGAUACAGGGUGACAGCCCCGUACACAAAAAUGCACAUGCUGUGAGCUCGAUGAGUAGGGCGGGACACGUGGUAUCCUGUCUGAAUAUGGGGGGACCAUCCUCCAAGGCUAAAUACUCCUGACUGACCGAUAGUGAACCAGUACCGUGAGGGAAAGGCGAAAAGAACCCCGGCGAGGGGAGUGAAAAAGAACCUGAAACCGUGUACGUACAAGCAGUGGGAGCACGCUUAGGCGUGUGACUGCGUACCUUUUGUAUAAUGGGUCAGCGACUUAUAUUCUGUAGCAAGGUUAACCGAAUAGGGGAGCCGAAGGGAAACCGAGUCUUAACUGGGCGUUAAGUUGCAGGGUAUAGACCCGAAACCCGGUGAUCUAGCCAUGGGCAGGUUGAAGGUUGGGUAACACUAACUGGAGGACCGAACCGACUAAUGUUGAAAAAUUAGCGGAUGACUUGUGGCUGGGGGUGAAAGGCCAAUCAAACCGGGAGAUAGCUGGUUCUCCCCGAAAGCUAUUUAGGUAGCGCCUCGUGAAUUCAUCUCCGGGGGUAGAGCACUGUUUCGGCAAGGGGGUCAUCCCGACUUACCAACCCGAUGCAAACUGCGAAUACCGGAGAAUGUUAUCACGGGAGACACACGGCGGGUGCUAACGUCCGUCGUGAAGAGGGAAACAACCCAGACCGCCAGCUAAGGUCCCAAAGUCAUGGUUAAGUGGGAAACGAUGUGGGAAGGCCCAGACAGCCAGGAUGUUGGCUUAGAAGCAGCCAUCAUUUAAAGAAAGCGUAAUAGCUCACUGGUCGAGUCGGCCUGCGCGGAAGAUGUAACGGGGCUAAACCAUGCACCGAAGCUGCGGCAGCGACGCUGAUGCGUUGUUGGGUAGGGGAGCGUUCUGUAAGCCUGCGAAGGUGUGCUGUGAGGCAUGCUGGAGGUAUCAGAAGUGCGAAUGCUGACAUAAGUAACGAUAAAGCGGGUGA